AUCACCUGGGAAUCCUCUUAAAAAGCAGACUCUGAGUCAGCAGUCCCAGGGCAGAGCCUAGGAUUCUGCAUUUCUAGCAAGUUCUCAGGUGAUGCUAC
rnacentral:pre_miRNA from 1 species